UACGUAGGAGGCAAGCGUUGUCCGGAAUUACUGGGUGUAAAGCGCGUGUAGGCGGCAGGCCAAGUCUGUGGUGAAAUCGCUCGGCUCAACUGGGCGGGGUCCAUGGAAACUGGUCAGCUGGAGGACGGUAGAGGUGAGUGGAAUUCCCGGUGUAGUGGUGAAAUGCGUAGAGAUCGGGAGGAACACCCGUGGCGAAGGCGGCAUCCUGGACCGACACUGACGCUGAGGAGCGAAAGCCAGGGGAGCAAACGGG
rnacentral:rRNA from 1 species